UGAGUACGAGAUACUACGGCAUCGAAGCAGUCUAUGUCAUACUUCCAAGAAAAGCUUGCACUGUCAUAAACAAAGAAUGCCUGUACCAUAACCGACACAGGUGGGUAGGUAGAGUAUACUAAGGGGCGCGAGAUAACUCUCUCUAAGGAACUCGGCAAAAUGACUCCGUAACUUCGGGAGAAGGAGUGCCUUAUUUCUAAGGUUGCAAUAACAAGAUCCAAGCAACUGUUUUACCAAAAACACAGGUCUCCGCUAAGUCGUAAGACGAUGUAUGGGGGCUGACGCCUGCCCAGUGCCAGAAGGUUAAAGAAGUUGGUUAGCAUUAGCGAAGCUGAUAACUGAAGCCCUGGUGAACGGCGGCCGUAACAAUAACGGUCCUAAGGUAGCGAAAUUCCUUGUCGGGUAAGUUCCGACCCGCACGAAAGGCGUAAUGAUUUGGAUACUGUCUCGGAGAGGGGCUCGGUGAAAUAGACUUGUCUGUGAAGAUGCGGACUACCUGCACCUGGACAGAAAGACCCUAUGAAGCUUUACUGUAACUUGAGAUUGAAAUUGGACUUUAUUUGCGCAGUAUAGGUGGGAGGCGUUGAGAAUAAUCUUGCGGGAUUGUUGGAGCCAUCAGUGAGAUACCACUCUUGUAAUGUUAGAUUUCUAACUUUGUAUCAUUAUCUGGUCAAAGAACAGUUUCAGGCGGGCAGUUUGACUGGGGCGGUCGCCUCCCAAAGGGUAACGGAGGCGCACAAAGGUUUCCUCUGAACGGGUAGAAAUCGUAUCUAGAGUGUAAGGGCAUAAGGAAGCUUGACUGUGAGACCUACAAGUCGAGCAGGGACGAAAGUCGGUCUUAGUGAUCUGACGGUGCUGAGUGGAAAGGCCGUCACUCAACGGAUAAAAGUUACUUUAGGAUAACAGGCUGAUCUCCCCCAAGAGUUCACAUCGACGGGGAGGUUUGGCACCUCGAUGUCGGCUCAUCGCAUCCUGGGGCGGUAGUCCGUCCCAAGGGUUGGGCUGUUCGCCCAUGAAAGCGGUACGCGAGCUGGGUUCAGAACGUCGUGAGACAGUUCGGUCCAUAUCCGGUGUAGGCGUUAGAAUAUUGAGAGGAGCCUUCUCUAGUACAAGAGGACCGAGAAGGACAUACCUCUGGUGUACCAGUUAUCGUGCCAACGGUAAACGCUGGGUAGCUAUGUAUGGAGUGGAUAACCGCUGAAAGCAUCUAAGUGGGAAGCCCACCUCAAGAUAAG
rnacentral:rRNA from 1 species